CAGAACCCCUCCAGGGCGGGGGAGAGGGGGCGGGAGAGAGGCCACGGGAGGUGGAGGCAGAGAUUGGAGACGUACUGCCAUGAGCCCAGGGAUCCCAAAGAUUGCCAGAAGCCACCAGAGGCUGGAAGAAGCAAGGGGGCAACGUGGGCCUGCCGACAUGUCGAUUUCAGGCCCCUGCCUCCAGAAUAUGACAGAAUACCUGUCCGUUGUUGCAAGGCCCCCAGUGUGUGGCACCUACAAGUAGCAGGUUUUUUAUCAGAAGCCCCAGAGAGGCAACCCUUCUAACAACCCAGAGGAGAGGAGCUUCCAGACUGCCUGGACGCUGGGGGAAGGUGCCCCGGAGGACAGCAGGGAGGCAGAGGCAGGGAGAAGGGUGAGGGGCGCGUUAACAGCUUUGAUUUGCACACACGUCUUUACUGUCGGACUCUUAUAAUGGGCGUGCUCACGGAUUACCUCCAGAA